rnacentral:rRNA from 1 species
AGUGAACGCUGGCGGUAGGCCUAACACAUGCGAGUCGAACGGCAGCACAGUAAGAGCUUGCUCUUACGGGUGGCGAGUGGCGGACGGGUGAGGAAUACAUCGGAAUCUACUUUUUCGUGGGGGAUAACGUAGGGAAACUUACGCUAAUACCGCAUACGACCUACGGGUGAAAGCAGGGGAUCUUCGGACCUUGCGCGAUUGAAUGAGCCGAUGUCGGAUUAGCUAGUUGGCGGGGUAAAGGCCCACCAAGGCGACGAUCCGUAGCUGGUCUGAGAGGAUGAUCAGCCACACUGGAACUGAGACACGGUCCAGACUCCUACGGGAGGCAGCAGUGGGGAAUAUUGGACAAUGGGCGCAAGCCUGAUCCAGCCAUACCGCGUGGGUGAAGAAGGCCUUCGGGUUGUAAAGCCCUUUUGUUGGGAAAGAAAAGCAGCAGGUUAAUACCCCGCUGUUCUGACGGUACCAAAAGAAUAAGAACCGGCUAACUGCGU